GAGAAGAUGAGUUUAGGGACUCAUAUGCUUUUAAAUCUAUAGUUUAAAAGUUAACUUUCUCAUUUAUCCUUAAAAUAAUAACAUCCUAUAACAUUUUAUUUAAUUAUAAUUGAAUUGAAUUGAUGCAAUUUUAUCUGACAAAGUAUAGAUGGUGUAGUACUUCUAGGCCAUGCAAGAAUUUCUUUUAAAUAUAAUAUAAUUUUUAAAUGUAAUAUGUCAAAUAAAAAUAUGAAUCUCAAUUUUUUUUGAAAAAAAAUGGCAAUUAGAAAUAACAAUAUUUUAUAUUGCACUCUAAUUAAUGUCAAGGAUCGUGGAUCAUCCACCAUGCAAAUUGUCAUUAAAGGGCCCCGAUACCUAUUAAUUAAACAUAGGUUGGUCCAAAGCCACUCAACAACUAACUAGCCCUUGAGUGGUAUAAGAUCUCCCUACGUAAAAUUGCCAUUAAUGCAAGAUUUGAGUGAUUACAAUGGUAUUCAAAUCCACACCUAAAUAAAUUGCAACUCUUAUAUGAAUCCUUGCAAUCAGCGGUGGCGGCAAUUUGCAUUAUUUAUGUAAAAUCUAUUACUAGAAGUUGCAUUAUUAGCAUUCAAAUAAAUACUUGUUAGAAAAGAAGAAGAAAAUACAUAUUUUGAUGGUUUUUUAAUAAAAACAGUCUCAAUGACUUGCUAGUCUAGUGGCAUCAAAGCUCUUUUCAGUAGAAAAGGUCUUAAUUUUUUUUUUAGAUGACGAAAGAUUGUGAAUUUGAAUUAGUUAAAGUUAGAUAUAUAAUAACGUGUAUGUUCUGGAGGGGGGGGCUGGGCUUUUCUAUGAAAAAAAAUGUAGGGUGUGUUAGUGUUAAAAAACAAAAACAAAAAUAACAAAACUUAAAACUCAAGCAAGAUAUGAGAUUAAAUCUUGCCAUUAAUAUAAGAAUAUUAUUAAUAGAUGAUGUAUAAAGACCUUUAUAAGUGUUGUGAGCCUGAAGAUAUGAUUUGACUCUAAUGAGCUCUUACGACUUAAUUUAUCUAAAUUUUUUUUAUAAACAAAAAUGUGAGGGCUCAAAAUUGUAGACAGCGUAAAAUAUAAAAACUUAGGGCACUGUUAUGUAAUAUGCUGAAUGAGGGCCCACCCAAACAAGGAUCCGCCUUCGAGUUAAAAAAGUGUCUGGGCUGGUGUCUCACAUGAGAAGAAGAAAGACAAGUGUAGCCAAGGAUGACCUGCCGGGAAAUCUGAUCUGAGCGAUGAAAGCACAAGCUUAUACAUGCGCAGCGAAUUGAUGCCGGCAAGUCAUGCUUGGCUUCAUUUCACUCUCCGCCUCUCCAUGAAAGACUCUCAGACCCCCAGAAAAUCCAUGCCUAGCUCAUACCUCUAUAUAUCUUCAACCUCAUGCUCUAUCUUCCUUCGCUUCUUCUUCAUGCCAUUUUAUAGGCAGAAAAAAGUGGCAAAUUGGGAAUGCUUCUGGUCCCUUCUAUAUUCUCUUUCUGACUCACCAUUCGCAAUCCUUUAGAGCCAAGUGACUCCGAUUCCUCUGUGAUGGCAAUACAUGUUGCCUACCACCUGUUUGAUGAAACGCAUUGAUGCUUUCAAUCUCUCACAAUGACAAUUUCAAGCAAAGAUAGAUAUGAAAUUUCUCAUUUAAGAGGCAUUGAAACAUGCAGUACACUCUGGAUUUUACUAUUAAGAAUGAGAUUUUGUGAUGGAAUAACUUUGGCGUGAGCUAAGAGAGCAAAUGAUUGAAUUCACAAAGCAUUGCAUGCUUCAGAAAUCUAUCUGGAUGGUUAAAGCAUUAUUAACAUUUCUGUCAACCUUCACUGUUGCGUCUCAAAUAUUGGGAAUUGGCAUCCAAGGCAUAAUAUGCAGAGCUGUUUUGGCAGUGAUAAAGCGAUGAUUAAUAUUAUGACAUUCCUGACUCAGCUGUCACAACUCACAAGUCACAAGACAGGGCAGUUUAACGAAUGAUGCAAAUCACCUGUUAUGCGGGCACUAUAAUCAAGCUCCUUCAGAGUCUCAAAUGGGAGGAAAGGGAGCAAACUUGAGCCAAGAAUAACUACCGGCAACAUCCAGAGAUAGAAUCACGUUUUACAGAAGAUGCCGCCAAGUCAUCCUCGACUCAAAUCCACUCUCUGCCCUUCAUGCAAGGCUGGCGAGCAAAGAAAUGAGCUUCUCAUAAUUGCAUUUAAGCAUUAUUGCGAGUCCACCCUAGGGGCAACGACAAGCUAUUUCAGAGUCUGAUAUAAGAGGAAAGGGAGAAAACUCGUGACAAAGAUGGCUUCCAACCAAUGGCGGACCUACGUUUAAUUGGGAGAUGCCCACCUCAGUUUUCUAUACUGCAUCUUAAUAUAUUGGGGGAAUGACAUUUAGGUCUUGAAAGAUCAAUUUAUUGACAAUUAGGUCCUGAAAAAUAUUGCUAGAAGAUGAGUUGUAAAUAUUGAUUCAUGACAUUAUAAUUAUGGGAGACUUAGUUGCAAAUAGAGCAUUCAAAUAUUAAGGGUCGCUUGCAGUUGCAUGAAUUCUUGAGGUUUAUUGUAGUGUAUUUAAUAGGCAGUGUGGUGGAAAAAAGCAUAUUUCAAACUACACAGUUCCAUGUUACCAAUUGACUUUUGCACUCUGCAUCUCCUAGACCCGUCCUUCUUUGGAAUAAAUUUCCAUGUUGGUAUGUGUAACUUUAGGCAUUAUAGAAGCAAAUAGAAGUUGACUUCAUCCAUUUUAUCUGUAACGGUUAGUUGAUUGACUAACACAUGUUCCCUCUUUCAGGCACUGAAACGUGCAGUUCAAUCUAGACCUUAUUGUUAAGGAUGAGAUUUUGUGAUGGAACAACUUCAGCAUGAGUUUUAAUAAAUUGCAAAACGUUG